CUGCACGGAACUACUAUAUUUUGCUGAGGCAUUAUCUACAAGUAGAACAACGUGAUGUAAAUAUGAGACGGGCCCUCGUCCUUCGUGCACUUCCUGUGUACCUGCGUGAAGAUGCCUCCAAGUUUUUCAGGACCUGUAAUUCAGCAGAUGGUCCAGACCUCACUGACACUCCGGUGGCUCUCCUGACAGUUGUCACUGAUGAUACUACUGAUGCGGCCCUCUUCAGCCCUGAGAGCAUCUGUAUUGUCGUGGAAGAUGAAAUACUUGUGAGUGGUCCCACAAACCUGGCUGACUCAUUUCUCCUGCUCUUUGGGUAUGUCUAUGCACUAGACCUACAGUACCCAAAGAAUCUUGAGCUUACAUUCACAUUUAUCCAAAAAGUUGUGAUGUGUCUUGAGGACAACAAACCACUGAAAGGCCGUCUACUGACACUGAAGAAUGAUUUGUUCAAUGAGUGAAUCACUCAGAAUGGACUAUUUGUUGAGCUGAGUAUUGAGGAUGUUUUUAUUUUUUUUUCCCUCUUUACAAAUGUAAUAAUUUGCCUCUUCUACCUCAUGUUUAAUAUGUUACACUGUUUGCCUCUUCUACCUCAGAUUUAAUACAUUGAUUGUUAAUAGAUAAAUAUCACAACAUUGACGUAUUGCCAAGCCCAAGUUUUUGUACUGUACUUGUGGGAAACGACUGUUGAAUUCGUGCACUAUACAUGUUUAAUGUUGUGUGACCUAAUGCUUACCUUGAUGUUGCCAGUUGAAGUACGGCACAGUAGAAACCAGUACUUUUAUUUGAAUGUUUUAUUUAAAAAAAGUGAGUUGCAGCCUUCAAGGUACAGUAAGUGCCAAAACGUUUUAAAUGGCUCCACAUUCUAAUAGUUGUCAUUGCUGUUGAGGAUGGAUUAUAAUUAGAAUCUUAUUGAAUUUUAUCAUGAAGCCUUUGUGAGUUUUUAUCAUAAUGUUUACUGAAUAGUGUGAUAUGGAGACCCAAAAUACUGAAUCUACCCUCUGUAGCAAUGACCACUAUCAGAAUAUGGAACUAUUAACACUUAAUGUACUUUAAAACACAUUUUGUUUUUAUGGAGUCAUUUCCUUUUCCUUUUUGUUUUAAUUUAUGACAAGCACUUUGUUUUGACUGAGCUCCUUUUGAUUCGUGCCUUUUUAAAAGCACAUUGUGUUGAAUAAAAAAAAAGUUAAAUUGUCA